rnacentral:lncRNA from 1 species
CAACAGCAGAUGGACCAAAUAGCCAUCUCAGUAAGUGCAAUCAUGUUAAAAAGUGAGGAAGAGCUUCAAGAUGUCAAGGCUGAUGAUGGAAGUUCGCAAGUACAAGAACAAGCUGCUGAAGAAAAACAGCCAGAAAACUGUUUGUCCAAACAAACUAAUCAAACAGAACCAGUUUAUGGUUUAGAUAUCACUGAUUGUUUGAGCCAAGAAGUUUUUGAUAUGAAUCAAGAUGAUAUGCUAAACAAUGAUUUUUGCAGGGAGGCUAGCCAAAAAGAUGAAGGGAGCCAAAA